UUACGGCCAUAACACGUUGUGACACCGGUUCCCGUACAAUCACUGAAGUUAAGCAACGUUGAGCCAGGUCAGUAACUAAAUCGGUUCCGCUUGGGAACACCAGGUGCUGUAAG